rnacentral:rRNA from 1 species
ACGGUAGCACAGAGAGCUUGCUCUCGGGUGACGAGUGGCGGACGGGUGAGUAAUGUCUGGGAAACUGCCUGAUGGAGGGGGAUAACUACUGGAAACGGUAGCUAAUACCGCAUAACGUCGCAAGACCAAAGAGGGGGACCUUCGGGCCUCUUGCCAUCAGAUGUGCCCAGAUGGGAUUAGCUAGUAGGUGGGGUAACGGCUCACCUAGGCGACGAUCCCUAGCUGGUCUGAGAGGAUGACCAGCCACACUGGAACUGAGACACGGUCCAGACUCCUACGGGAGGCAGCAGUGGGGAAUAUUGCACAAUGGGCGCAAGCCUGAUGCAGCCAUGCCGCGUGUAUGAAGAAGGCCUUCGGGUUGUAAAGUACUUUCAGCGGGGAGGAAGGUGUUGUGGUUAAUAACCGCAGCAAUUGACGUUACCCGCGGAAGAAGCACCGGCUAACUCCGUGCCAGCAGCCGCGGUAAUACGGAGGGUGCAAGCGUUAAUCGGAAUUACUGGGCGUAAAGCGCACGCAGGCGGUCUGUCAAGUCGGAUGUGAAAUCCCCGGGCUCAACCUGGGAACUGCAUUCGAAACUGGCAGGCUAGAGUCUUGUAGAGGGGGGUAGAAUUCCAGGUGUAGCGGUGAAAUGCGUAGAGAUCUGGAGGAAUACCGGUGGCGAAAGCGGCCCCCUGGACAAAGACUGACGCUCACGUGCGAAAGCGUGGGGAGCAAACAGGAUUAGAUACCCUAGUAGUCCACGCCGUAAACGAUGUCGACUUGGAGGUUGUGCCCUUGAGGCGUGGCUUCCGGAGCUAACGCGUUAAGUCGACCGCCUGGGGAGUACGGCCGCAAGGUUAAAACUCAAAUGAAUUGACGGGGGCCCGCACAAGC